rnacentral:rRNA from 1 species
AUUGAACGCUGGCGGCAUGCUUUACACAUGCAAGUCGAACGGCAGCGCGGGCUUUGGCCUGGCGGCGAGUGGCGAACGGGUGAGUAAUACAUCGGAACGUGCCCAGUAGUGGGGGAUAGCUCGGCGAAAGCCGGAUUAAUACCGCAUACGACCUGAGGGUGAAAGCGGGGAUCUUCGGACCUCGCGCUAUUGGAGCGGCCGAUGGCAGAUUAGCUAGUUGGUGGGGUAAAGGCCUACCAAGGCGACGAUCUGUAGCUGGUCUGAGAGGACGACCAGCCACACUGGGACUGAGACACGGCCCAGACUCCUACGGGAGGCAGCAGUGGGGAAUUUUGGACAAUGGGCGAAAGCCUGAUCCAGCAAUGCCGCGUGUGUGAUGAAGGCCUUCGGGUUGUAAAGCACUUUUGGCGGGAACGAAAAGGACUGUGCCAAUACCACGGUUCGAUGACGGUACCCGCAGAAUAAGCACCGGCUAACUACGUG